AUUGAACGCUGGCGGCGUGCUUAACACAUGCAAGUCGUGCGGUAACAGGCGUAGCAAUACGUGCUGACGAGCGGCGAACGGGUGCGUAAUACAUGGGAAUCUGCCUUUUAGUGGGGAAUAACCCGGCGAAAGCCGGGCUAAUGCCGCAUAAGAUCUUCGGAUGAAAGCGGGGAGUCGUAAGACCUCGCGCUGAUAGAUGAGCCCACUG
rnacentral:rRNA from 1 species